GACGGAGGAUGCAAGCGUUAUCCGGAAUGAUUGGGCGUAAAGCGUCUGCAGGUGGCAGUUCAAGUCUGCUGUCAAAGACCGGGGCUUAACUUCGGAAAGGCAGUGGAAACUGAAGUGCUAGAGUGCAGUAGGGGUAGAGGGAAUUCCCGGUGUAGCGGUGAAAUGCGUAGAGAUCGGGAAGAACAUCGGUGGCGAAAGCGCUCUGCUGGACUGCAACUGACACUCAGGGACGAAAGCUAGGGGAGCGAAUGGG
rnacentral:rRNA from 1 species